AGCAGCCGCGGUAAUUCCAGCUCCAAUAGCGUAUAUUAAAGUUGCUGCAGUUAAAAAGCUCGUAGUUGAAUUUCGGGACCAUCAUGUCGGUCGUGCCUCGGUACGUACUGGUAUUGUUGGUUUCUCCCUUCUGACGAACCAUGAUGUCAUUUAUUUGGUGUUGUGGGAAAUCAGGGCUGUUACUUUGAAAAAAUUAGAGUGUUUAAAGCAGGCUCACGCUUGAAUACAUUAGCAUGGAAUAAUGAAAUAGGACGUUUGAUUCUAUUUUGUUGGUUUCUAGGAUCGACGUAAUGAUUAAUAGGGAUAGUUGGGGGCAUUAGUAUUCAAUUGUCAGAGGUGAAAUUCUUGGAUUUAUUGAAGACUAACUACUGCGAAAGCAUUUGCCAAGGAUGUUUUCAUUAAUCAAGAACGAAAGUUAGGGGAUCGAAGACGAUCAGAUACCGUCGUAGUCUUAACCAUAAACUAUGCCGACUAGGGACCGGAUGAUGUUAAUUUUUUAAUGACUCAUUCGGCGCCUUACG
rnacentral:rRNA from 1 species